GGUGUGUGUUCGCGGUUUGUGUGUGUUCGCUGUGUGUGUGUGUGCACUUUGGAUGGGUUAAAUGCAGAGCACAAAUUCUGAGUAUGGUUCCCAAUACUUGGCUGAAUGUCACUUUCACUAAUAUGUUAAACCAGGAGAAAACAGAGAACUUAAACAUAAAGAUGAAUGACAAUGAGCCUUUGUGCUUCUUUGCUGGACUAUGACUGAAUGGUAUAGGCUCUCUCUCUCUAUAUGAUAACCUUAUAUUAGUGCAGAAAGACUCAAGGUAUAGGCUCUUGUUUCUCCAUUAGAGGGCAGCCUAACCUCACAAAACAAACAUUUGACUGCUGUGAGCCUUUUUUGAUUUGAUCAUUUCCCCUGGAGUUUACCUCUGGGAUGAAAGUGUAGGUCAAGCCAUUAUACAAGUGUGCUGCUGAUGAAAAAUAA